UCUUCUUCUUCUUCUCCUCUUCUUCCCUUCUCCUCCCCGACGCCCCACACAUGAACUCCUCUGUUUCCUCCUACACGAAACAGAGGUGCUGCAGCCCUAGCUACUGCAGCUAUCUAUCUUCCCUCUCCCUCUUCCCUCUCUUCUUCUUCUUCUUCUUCUUUUCUUCUCUUUUCCCUCUUCUUCCUCUCUUCUUUUCCCUCUUCUUCUUCUUUUCUUCUCUUCUCCCUCAACUAUUCUUCUUCUUCCCACGCCCCACCGCUCCUCUCUCU
rnacentral:lncRNA from 1 species